AAAAAAAAAAACUUGCUCCAAAAUGUACUCGUCCCGACCGUCUCAUCAAUGUGCUCGGUGUUCCGAUUCUAUUCAUGCCGGAGUGCUUCGUGAAAUUCAUAAUCACUGCUGCAGCGCAGUUUAAACGUAUACGAGCGAUAUUUCUGUAGUAUAUUAUAUAAUACAUAAUAAACAGGUAUACUGAAAAAUUCGAGAUGUAGGUAUUUUUUGAAGUAGAAAAAAACCCCUCCGAUUUGCCCGAACCAAUUCCAUCAUAAACACGGCGCAGUGCGGCGGUGCGUUUU